CCUACGGGAGGCAGCAGUGGGGGAUAUUGCACAAUGGGGGAAACCCUGAUGCAGCGACGCCGCGUGGGCGAAGAAGUAUUUCGGUACGUAAAGCCCUAUCAGCAGGGAAGAAGAAAUGACGGUACCUGCGUAAGAAACACCGGCUAAAUACGUGCCAGCAGCCGCGGUAAUACGGAGGGUGCAAGCGUUAUCCGGAUUUACUGGGUGUAAUGGGACCGCAGGCGGGAGGGCAAGGCUGAUGUGAAAGCCCGCGGCGCAACCGCGGGACUGCAUUUGGAACUACCGGGCUGGAGUGCGGGAGAGGUAGGCGGAAUUCCUGGUGUAGCGGUGAAAUGCGUAGAUAUUAGGAGGAACACCAGUGGCGAAGGCGGCCUACUGGACGGUGACUGACGCUGAGGCUCGAAAGCGUGGGUAGCAAACAGGAUUAGAUACCCUAGUAGUC
rnacentral:rRNA from 1 species